AAAAUGGUUUUCUUUAAAACCAUCAUGAAUGUUAUUGACAUUGUUG
rfam:Lottia gigantea unplaced genomic scaffold LOTGIsca_86, whole genome shotgun sequence.